CAAAACUUUGUCAGUGUAAUCUAAAGGCCUUUGCGAUGUUAAAUUGCGAAGAUCUUGAGGUUUCGUUUAAGGGCGUGUCUGUGGCGGCCUUACAAAUUUCGAUGUUUCGCCAUGAGAAAAGGAAGUUGCUAUAACUCAGACAUACAAUGUCCAAUCUGCCCCAAACUUCACAUGUUUGAGAAGACUCCUGACCUGAAUAUAUCUACAUGCCAAUAUUCAGAUAUCGCUGUAGCGCCACCUGCUGGCAACAGGAAGUGACAUGAUUUACGCCGUAACAAAUUACUCCUAGAAAUUUGUAUGACAUUUUAUUAUUUUUUUUUGGUCAAUCUAAUCUAAAGGCCUUUGCGAUGUUAAAUUGUGAACAUCUUGAGGUUUUUCAUUAAAGGCGUGUGCCAUGGCGCCAUGACAAAGUUUGAUGUCUCGCCAUGGGAAUAGAAGUUAUUGUAACUCAGGCAUAAAGAUGUCUGAUCUUCCCCAAACUUCACAUGUUCGAAAAGAGUCUUGGCCUGAACACAUCUGAAGGUCAAUAUUCCACUAUAAUCAUAGCGCCACCUGCUGGCAACAGGAAAUGGCUUGUUUUACACUAACUUAAACAUGCAAUGUCCAAUCUGCACCAAACUUCAAAUAUUUGGAAAGGACUGAAGAAAUGUACAUGCCAAAAUCCAGUUAUAGUUAUAGCGCCACCAGCUGGCAGCAGGAAGAUUGGCACAUAUAAAUGACUUUGACAUAUUCCUCUUAUAUUUACCACAUUAAACGCAUAUUUCUUGCCGUUCAGCUGUUUUACAAAAGCCACCCGGUGGUGGUGAGCCCGGGUGCGAGGGCCCGUUCAUCGCUGCUUGCAGCUUUAAUUCUUCUUCUUCUUCUUCUUCUUCUUCUUCUUCUUCUUCUUCUUCUUCUUCUUCUUCUUCUUCUUCUUCUCCAAAAUGAAUCGCAUUUUUUGAGGGCCUAAACAUGCUCGAAAAGUCCUGAAACUUUGCACACGCGUCAGACCUGGUGAAAAUUUACGUCUGAUAUAGGUUUCAGAAGAGGGUGUGGCAAAAUGGCUCGACAGCGCCACCUAUCGUAAAAAAAUCAACAGCCCUCGAGCUGUGUUUCACGUACAUGCACGAAAAUUGGCACACAUAUGUAAAGCAUCAGUACCUACAAAAAAGACUCUUGGAGCAAUAUCCGAAAACCCAACAGGAAGUCGGUUAUUUUUAAUUUUAUGAGCAAAUUUUGCAUCAUUUUUGUCAUUUGCAUGCCUUGUAUUUUAACGAACUCCUCCUAGAGAUUUAUUCAGAUCAACACCAAAUUUGGUAUGCCUAAUCUAAAGGCCUUUGCGAUGUUAAAUUGCGAAGAUCUUGAGUUUUUGUUGAAGGGCGUGUCCGUGGCGGCCUGACGAAUUUCGAUGAUUCGCCAUGAAAAAAAUGAAGUUGCUAUAACUCAGACAUACAAUGUCCAAUCUGCCACAAACUUCACAUGUUUGAUAAGACUCCUGACCUGAACAGAUUGAUAUGCCCAUAUUCAGUUAUAGUCAUAGCGCCACCUACUGGCAACAGGAAGUGACAUAUUUUACACUGUAACAAACUACCCCGAGAAAUUUUAUGACAUAAAUUUUUUUUUUCAGUCACUCUAUUCUAAAGGCCUGUGCGAUGUUAAAUUGUGAAGAUCUUGAGUUUUCGUUAAAGGGCGUGUCCAUGGCGCCGUCACAAAGUUCGAUGUCUCGCCAUGGGAAUAAAAGUUAUUGUAACUCAGGCAUAAAAUGUCCGAUCUUGCCCAAACUUCACAUGUUUCGAUAAGAGUCCUGUCCUGAACACAUCUGAAGGCCAAUAUUCCA
ensembl:lncRNA